UCCGAUAUGGUGUAGUGGCUAACAUUAUCGCCUCUCACGCCAUAGCCCGGGGUUCAAUUCCCCGUGUCGGAA
rnacentral:tRNA from 1 species